rnacentral:pre_miRNA from 1 species
GGGGGGGGGGAUCCUGGGCUGUGUCCCGGCGCCCAGUGCUACAGAGCCUGCGCUGUUGGAUUUGUGCUCCCCGACCCGCAGCCCCCU